rnacentral:lncRNA from 1 species
ACUCGCCUCCCCACUUGCCCAGGCUCGGCUCUAUUCCUUUAGGCUCGGCCGGACUCGGCUCUACACGUCUGUAUUCGGCCAGGAUCGGCUCUGCUCGGCCAAGCUCGGACUUACUCGGAUCUGCUUGGCUCUACACUGGCCAAGACCUUGGUUCCGCGCGGUGGCGUUCCUCCCUGCCUGCCGGCUCUGGAUUUCGUGGGUGUAGGCCCCGGAGGCUCGAGCAGAGUCACGUCUUCAGCUCGCGGUUUUUUUUUUUGCUGCUCUGGACUUAGGGAGAACCACAGGAGCCCUGGAGACUGGCAAGUUCCAGGCCGCAGACUUCACCUCCUCUGCAGUUGAGUGGAUAAGUAGGCUGGCCCCGUAGAGAGUCCCUGGCUGGGUUCCCAGCUUGUUUCCCACCCAUCUUUUCCAUCACCUUUCCUCAGUUUCAGGCUUUCUAACCCUGCUGGGGCUGAGACUGCAGAGCCCAGCUGGCAUGGCCCCUAGUGCUGACUCAGCCCUUUCUCUGGGUGGCUGCAUGAAGGGUGUGUGUGGCUUCUCUUGGCUCCCGCCCCUGCAGCCUUGGCUCUGUACCUUGGGAAUUUUACUUGGACAGGGAUGUGCCAUUUGGGCCUGAUAGUGGUCACAGUCCCUCAGUCUCCUUUCCUUUGGGUCACACCCUCCCACCCCUGAAUAGACCUUGGGGCUCCAAGUCUCCUUGGGAGGGUGGGGUUCAGUGCAAGGCCAGAAUUCAGGAGAGUCUGACUUCUUCCCAGCUCGGACUCCAGUCUGCUCUGUAACCUCGCGCCAAAGUCGAUUUCCCUUGGCCACAGUGUCCCUGCUGGUCAGAUUAAGGAAUGGGAUUAGAUCAUCUUUAAGGAUCUUUCCAGGCCUGCCAUUCUGCUGACUGAUGGUCCCCAAACAACAGGAAAUAGGCCCAGAGACAGCCCUGGUCAAGCACAGAGAGCCUGCAGGCUGUUCUAUCCAUGCU